AUAAAAUAUAAGCUUUUAACUUGCUUUCUUAAAGAUAUGGCCAUGCAAGCUAAAAAGGAAGGAGACGUUUUCCGUCCAUUGGCAAACUUUCCCCCUACUAUUUGGGGGUAUAGUUUUGCUAAAUUUUCUAUUUUAGAUCCUGUAAGUCUCUUCAGUGUUUGUUUUCCCUAUUCAUUCUCAUUGGGAAUUCUUUAUGCACUAUAAUUUAUUAAAAUAUACUUGUUAAAUGUGUAGAUAUUGCUUAAUAUAUAUGUACAGUGGGAUUUUAUUUUUACUUAACAGGAAUUUAAAACAUACACCAAAGAAGUGGAAGCACUCAAAGAAGAGGUGAUACAUAUGCUAAUGCAAUCGAUGGAAAAGUUAGCUGAUAAGAUUGAGUUUAUCAACUUAUUAUGUCGACUUGGUGUGUCAUAUCAUUUUGAAAAUGAAAUUGAAAAACAAUUAAAUGAUAUUUUCAUUGUCCUUCCUGAUCUUCUUUCUAAAAAUGAUUAUGACCUCUACACUUUGGCAAUUCUAUUUCAAGUUCUCAGACAAUAUGGAUACAAAGUGCCUUGUGGUAAGUACCUAACCAUAUGCUUAGAAAUUUAUUCAUGUUGCGAUUGUGUGAUCCAUAUUAUACUGAUACUUUUUCUUAUUUACCAUAGUUCUUUAAUAUUUUCUUGUGUGAUAUGGAUCAAUUAUUAUGAAUCAGAUGUAUUUAACAAAUUCAAGGACAGCGAUGGAGGGUUCAAGAAAACCAUCAGCAGCGAUGUGGAAGGCCUUCUUAGUUUAUACGAAGCUACCUUUCUGAGUGUGCAUGGAGAAGAUAUUUUAGAUGAAGCCCUUGCUUUUACAAGGCAACGUUUGGAAACCUUAGCUGCUCAAUCAAGCCCUCGUCUAGCAAAACGCAUAAGCAAUGCUCUUUUGCGACCAUUCCACCAAGGCAUAGAGAGACUGGAGGCUAGGCAAUACAUUUGCUUUUAUGAAGGAGAUGAGUCUCGAAAUGAAACUCUCCUCAAAUUUGCAAAGUUGGAUUACAGUCGACUGCAAUGCUUGUACAAACAAGAGCUAGCUUUUCUAUCAAGCUGGUGGAAAGAAUUGAAUCUUGCGGAAAAGCUUCCUUAUAUAAGAGACAGAGUUGUGGAAGCGUAUCUGUGGGCAGUUGGAGCCCAUUUUGAGCCUGAAUAUGCUCUUGCUCGACUGAUGAUCGCCAAAUAUGCAAAAAUGAUAUCGGUGGUAGAUGAUACAUAUGAUGCAUAUGGUACAAUUGAUGAACUCCGACGUUUUACAGAUGCAUUUCAGAGAUGCGAUGCUGAUUCUAUUGAUGAGGUGCCAGAAUAUAUGAAAGUUAUUUACAAGGGUCUCUUGAAUCUUUUUGAUGAAACAGAGAGUGCUGGGAAAGAAGGAAUGUCCUAUAGAACCUCUUAUGCAAAGGAGAAGUUCAAAGAAAUUACAAGAGCAUACUUUGUUGAGGCAAAAUGGUUUAAUGAAGGGUAUGUGCCAUCAAUGGAAGAGUAUACAGAGAAUGGAUUAAUCACAAGCACUUAUUGUUUACUUCCAGCAGCGUCUUUCAUUGGAAUGAAAAAUGUUGUGGGAACCAAGGAAUAUGAGUGGGUGGAAAGUAAUCCAAAAACUGUUAUAGCUUCCAAGUUAAUUUGUCGUUUGAUGGAUGAUAUAGCCACCCGCGAGGACGAGCGAAAGAGAGGACAAUGUGCUACAAGUGUGGAUUGCUACAUGAAAGAACAUGGUGUCUCAGAAACAGAUGCAAUUGCAGAAAUUCAGAAAAUGUGUGCAAAUGCAUGGAGGGACAUGAACGAAGAAUGCAUGAAGCCAACUGCUGUCCCAAGGGUUCUUCUCAAAUAUUAUGUCAACCUUGCACGAGUAAUAGACUUUGUUUUCAAGUACAUGGAUUCCUACACAUAUUGCUCAAGUCUGAAAGGGGACGUCUACACUUUGUUCCUUGGGCAACUGCCCAUGUAAACACCAACUGCUUCUUUUCAGCUGCUGGGUCCUUGCUCCCUAGUGAGGGUAAUUAAAUAAGCUAAGAUUUUAUGGAAUUGUUGUGUGGUGUUUCAAGUUUGGAGUCAUGGUCUUUUGGUUUGUUUCGAAGCUGGUGCUUAGAGUUGUUGAAUAACUUACGUAAAUUUAUAUAUUUCAUGGCAUUCAAAUA
rnacentral:misc_RNA from 1 species